UACGUAGGUGGCAAGCGUUGUCCGGAUUUACUGGGCGUAAAGAGCGCGCAGGCGGUCGUUCAAGUCGCGUGUGAAAGCCCCCCGGCUCAACUGGGGAGGGUCACGCGAUACUGAUCGACUCGAAGGCAGGAGAGGGAAGUGGAAUUCCCGGUGUAGUGGUGAAAUGCGUAGAUAUCGAGAGGAACACCGGUGGCGAAGGCGGCCUUCUGGACAGUGACUGACGCUGAGACGCGAAAAGCGUGGGGGAGCAAACAGG
rnacentral:rRNA from 1 species